GACGAACGCUGGCGGCGUGCUUAACACAUGCAAGUCGAACGGAAAGUCCCUGCUUUGGGGGGGUGCUCGAGUUGCGAACGGGUGAGUAACACGUGAGUAACCUGCCCUUGACUUUGGGAUAACUUCAUGAAACUGGGAGUAAUACCGGAUAGGAUCUACUGCUGCAUGGUGGGGGUUGGAAGGUUUCGGUGGUUGGGGAGUGACUCGCGGCCUAUCAGCUUGUUGGAGGGGUAGUGGCUUACCAAGGCCUUGACGGGUAGCCGGCCUGAGCGGAUAAGCGGCCAAGUUGGGACUGAGAUGAGGCACAGACUACUCCGGGAGGCAGCAGUGGGGAAUAUUGUACAAUGGGCGGAAGCAUGAUGCAGUAAAGCAGCGUGCGGGAUGACGGCAUUCGGGUUGUAAAGCGAUUUCGCCUGAGACGAAGCGUGAAUGACGGUAAUGGGUAAAGAAGCACCGGCUAACUACGUG
rnacentral:rRNA from 1 species